rnacentral:rRNA from 1 species
GUGGGGAAUCUUAGACAAUGGGCGCAAGCCUGAUCUAGCCAUGCCGCGUGAGCGAUGAAGGCCUUAGGGUUGUAAAGCUCUUUCAGGGGGGAAGAUAAUGACGGUACCUGAAGAAGAAGCCCCGGCUAACUUCGUGCCAGCAGCCGCGGUAAUACGAAGGGGGCUAGCGUUGCUCGGAAUCACUGGGCGUAAAGCGAACGUAGGCGGCUUUCUAAGUCAGGGGUGAAAUCCUGGAGCUCAACUCCAGAACUGCCUUUGAUACUGGAGAGCUUGAGUUCGGGAGAGGUGAGUGGAACUGCGAGUGUAGAGGUGAAAUUCGUAGAUAUUCGCAAGAACACCAGUGGCGAAGGCGGCUCACUGGCCCGAUACUGACGCUGAGGUGCGAAAGCGUGGGGAGCAAACAGGAUUAGAUACCCCUGUAGUCC